UACGAAGGGGGCUAGCGUUGUUCGGAAUUACUGGGCGUAAAGGGUGCGUAGGCGGUGUGUCAAGUCAGGCGUGAAAGCCCCGGGCUCAACCUGGGAACCGCGCUUGAGACUGGCACGCUAGAGUUCGGGAGAGGAUGGUGGAAUUCCCAGUGUAGAGGUGAAAUUCGUAGAUAUUGGGAAGAACACCGAUGGCGAAGGCAGCCAUCUGGACCGACACUGACGCUGAGGCGCGAAAGCGUGGGGAGCAAACAGG
rnacentral:rRNA from 1 species